UGUGAGUGUGACUGUUGGCAGUGCAGAGUCGAGCAAACAGCCAGACGCAGAGAUCAGGCAGUUCCGCAAGAAGUACAGACAGGAAAUACUCACAGCAGCUAUACUUAAAAUAUGGUGUGAAUCUGCUGAUUGGAACUGAGACUGCUCUUCUUUAUCGACAGGAGCGGCGAAGGCAAAGUGUCACAGCUGAUCAAGCGGAGGAAAUUCCAGUUGGUAGACACUCUGCCCAAUCUGAAUCUCAUGAUCAGCAUCUCUGGAGCCAAGUGCAAAAUCAGAG